CCUCCCUCUAGUCACAGGAAAAUACCUUGAUUCUCUGCAAGAUUCACAGCACCUAGUUUAAGCCAGGUGAGAUCAUCCAGGGAAAGAUGAUCCAAACUUUGAUACAACCCCAUGCCCUAAUGCUGCUGCUGCUGUUUCAGGGGCUGAUGAGGAGUUCUUUCUCUUUGAUGGAGGUUCCUGAGAUGAAAUUUGAAGAAAUAGAACCAAUGCCUGAAACAUUGAAUUACCUAGAAAGAAGAUUCAAAGUCUAUUUUGGUGACUACCCCAUCAAAAACAUUACGGCCAUGGAGUACUGUAACCAAAUGGUGAGAAGUAGACAUGUCAUGGAUCCUAUAAACAUAUGUAAGUCACACCAUUACUUCUUUCACCAACCAUGGUUCAUACUCGAAAGCCUUUGUGAGUAUGAGCAAUAUCCAUGCUCAAAGCUAGAAGGCAACUGCCAUCUGACCAAAAAAAUUGAGAUUACACAUUGUGAGUUAACUGCAGGAAUAACUUAUCCUAAUUGUGUCUACUCAUCUAAGAAGAAAAAUAAACCACUGGUAAUCCGCUGUGUUGAAGCAAUGGGUACAAAUAUCCAUGUUCCUCUGGAGGUGGACAAAAUUUUUGAAUAAUCCAGGGGCAGAUGAGGCCAAGCAGACAUGCAAAGGGUCCUGAGUCCCAUAUCUCCCCUCCAAUUCCAGUGAAAUCUCUUCAGAUAUGUAGGACAAAAAGAUAUAAUACAAAGUCAGUCUUCCCCAUAGUGUUCCUUGAUGAUGGAAACCAAACCUAUUGAAUUCUGCUCCUAAGGCUCCAUUCAUUUCCAGCUCCCAAUGGACUAAGUCCAUAGCAACUCUAGAAGAUGAUGAGAACUGCAGCCACAAUAGUUCCAGGUGAAGAGGAUGCACCUGAAAUAUACUUUUGACUAACUGUGGAAUAGUCAGUACAGCAAACUGAAAUUCUUCUUUAGUUUAAAACCCUGAUUCUCACCUGAUAUUAUGAAUUUCAACUGGAGAAUGCUACUGGACUUCAUUAUACUUCUUCAGAAAUUUCAAGCAACUAGCUCAUCCAAGUUUCAAAUUAUCAUCCCUAGUCUCCAACUUUUUUACUUAUAUUAUGAUGCUUUUAUUAAAAUGUCUUGGAAUGAAAUUCCCCUCCCCACCUUUUUUUUUCAAAAAAGAAAGAUUUAACUAGCACAAUGGGAACCAAGGAAUUUGGAGUUCCAAAACCAGCUCCAUCAAAGCUUCACUUCUACCUUUUCAUUGGCAUCCAUAGGUGGGUCAAAAGAUAAGAUUGUGAGGCAAAAAUUCAGGGGUUUCCUAGUCUAAAUACCUGACAAUGGAGGAUAAAAGCAAAUGGAAGGGGAAAUAACUUUCAGAAUUGGAUUCUGAGUUCUUUGUUGAACUGAAUGAUUUAGUUAAGAUUAAAAAAUUGCAC
rnacentral:lncRNA from 1 species